AGGCUGGCUCAGUGGGUAGAGCAUGCGACUCGAUCUCGCAGUUGUGAGUUUAAGCCCCACGUUGGGCCCACGUGGAGCCUACUUAAAUAAAGUAAACCUGAUCAUUUAAUGAACACAUCCCACGAUUGUGGUUAGACUUACAGUAUGGGAAUGUGGUGGUGUUGGAGUCACUGCCAAUUCAGAAAAAGUUCUGUUUAAAUGCAAAUGUGCCAGGUGGCCACAGCUUCCCCCCCCACCCAAGCUGAUUGAAAGGAACCCCGCAGUUUUCUUGCCCUGCUGUCACUCAGAUGUGAGGAGGUGUGGCCUCGUGAACUGUCCAAUCAGGAGCUCCGUUGGGUCAGCGGGGCGGGCCCACGCGGUGCAACUCUCGACGAGGUCGCUACCGGCUUAGGGCUGGCGUUUGGGUUCACUUCUUGUCCCCAGCCCUUUAACGCUCCUUGGGUCUCUGCUAGCAGCUACCUCUGUCGCUCUGGGAUCUUCACUGGUCGUGGGAGUCCUGGGAAGGACGUGGGGCACACAGAAAAUGGAGAAAUGUACCUCUUGCCAGAACCACCAGGACAUACCUGCAGUCAUGGAGAGCAGUGUACCCACUUGUCAUCAGCAGGACUGCAAAGGAGAAGUGACUGUGGGUGUAUCAGUAAGAAAGUAUCCAAAAGGACUUCUAGAAUUUGGACCAGUGUUAAGUGAUCUGAAUGAUAGUUCGUGAAGGAACACAUUGCUGUCAAUUGGAUGCUGUGAGGAGGUGUAUACCCAUAAUAGUUGAAAGCAGAGUCUCAAAGAGAUACAAACCUAUGUUCACAACAUCAUUACUCAGACUGGCAAAUGGAAGUGACCCAAUGUACAUCAACUGAUGAAUGCAGGAGCAAAGAGCUAUGCAUACAUUCAGUGGAACAUUAUUCAACCUUAAAAAUAGAGGACAUUCUGACCCAUGCUACAUGUUCAAAAAUUGUGGUGCUAAUAGGCUGUAUUGGUCAAUAUACUGAAAACCAUUGAGUUGUACACAUUAAAGGGAUGUGUUGUAUAUCAUGUAUAUUGUAUCCCAAUAAAGCUAAAUAAAUACCUCAAAUAAAUGCACUGAGUUUUGAACUAAUG